GGGACCUACCUCUUAGUGGGGGAUAACGGUUGGAAACGACCGCUAAUACCGCAUACGCCCUUCGGGGGAAAGAUUUAUCGCUAAGAGAUGGACCCGCGUUGGAUUAGAUAGUUGGUGAGGUAACGGCUCACCAAGUCAGCGGUCCAUAGCUGGUUUGAGAGGAUGAUCAGCCACACUGGGACUGAGACACGGCCCAGACUCCUACGGGAGGCAGCAGUGGGGAAUAUUGGACAAUGGGGGCAACCCUGAUCCAGCCAUGCCGCGUGAGUGAAGAAGGCCUUCGGGUUGUAAAGCUCUUUCAGAUGCGAAGAUGAUGACGGUAACAUC
rnacentral:rRNA from 1 species